rnacentral:lncRNA from 1 species
AUUCAACAGUCAAAGAACUCAUCUGUCUUGAAGAACUCAAAUCUGAUUUUCAUCGAAUCAAUCUUUCAAAUCACUUCUAAAAGGUGGUUUUAUCUUCCUCACAUUCUAAACAGUCACUUUUUCACUCUUUUGGGACAUGGUUCAAAUGGUAAAAAGUUGGGGAAUUUUUAAGCCUAUGAUACUCUUUCACUCACUAAGUUUGCUCUAUUUUAUAGCUUCUGAUUACACUUUUCUUACUCUCAUUGCUUUUGAUCGUUUGCAUUCGAAGUCCGAGUUUGAGUUCGAAUCUCCGUCGAGAAAACUCCAGUUUGUUGUCCCGCACAAG